UACGUAGGGGGCAAGCGUUAUCCGGAAUCACUGGGUGUAAAGGGAGCGUAGACGGCUGUGCAAGCCUGAAGUGAAAGGCGGGGGCCCAACCCCUGGACUGCUUUGGGAACUGUACGGCUGGAGUGCAGGAGAGGUAAGUGGAAUUCCUAGUGUAGCGGUGAAAUGCGUAGAUAUUAGGAGGAACACCAGUGGCGAAGGCGGCUUACUGGACUGUAACUGACGUUGAGGCUCGAAAGCGUGGGGAGCAACCAGG
rnacentral:rRNA from 1 species